rnacentral:lncRNA from 1 species
AGAUCUUUUCUACUAAGGAACUCUUUCCUGUAUGAAGUACAUUUUUAUUUGGUUUGAGGUGAUUAAUUUUUUGGGUAAGGAAUAUGUUAUCUUGGGUCAAUUUUGAGGGCUAACAACUUAUGAGUUACAACUGUGAUAAACUGUUUAAAGCUUUUGGGGCUUGAAUAGUUAAACUCGGAUUUUGUUUUUGCUUCUUAACAGA